GACGAACGCUGGCGGCGUGCUUAACACAUGCAAGUCGAACGGAAAGGCCCUGCUUUUGUGGGGUGCUCGAGUGGCGAACGGGUGAGUAACACGUGAGUAACCUGCCCUUGACUUUGGGAUAACUUCAGGAAGCUGGGGCUAAUACCGGAUAGGAGCUCCUGCUGCAUGGUGGGGGUUGGAAAGUUUCGGCGGUUGGGGAUGGACUCGCGGCUUAUCAGCUUGUUGGUGGGGUAGUGGCUUACCAAGGCUUUGACGGGUAGCCGGCCUGAGAGGGUGACCGGCCACAUUGGGACUGAGAUACGGCCCAGACUCCUACGGGAGGCAGCAGUGGGGAAUAUUGCACAAUGGGCGGAAGCCUGAUGCAGCAACGCCGCGUGCGGGAUGACGGCCCUCGGGUUGUAAACCGCUUUCGCCUGUGACGAAGCGUGAGUGACGGUAAUGGGUAAAGAAGCACCGGCUAACUACGUG
rnacentral:rRNA from 1 species